rnacentral:lncRNA from 1 species
AUAUAUAUAUAAAGAGAGAGAGUAAGGCUCUUAUACGUUUGAAAGUAUAGAGCUCUGCUUACUUGUAAGUUAUUUUUUUAUGACGAGACAUUCGAUUUGGCGAUCGAUUCUAUUAAACGUGGUCUACGUUAUUGGAACAAUUUAAAAAUCAAAUUUUAUAAUUUUUUUACUUCAUUUGUCCAGUAAAUUAAUAGCCUCAAAAUAAACAACUGAAAAUAAAAAUUUUAUAAAAAAUAAUAAUAAAAGGUUCAGAAUUAUUUUUGAAAUAUUUUGAUCACUUAGUAAAUUAUAUUAAAAAAUUAUAAAAUUUAGAUUUUAAAUAAUUUUAAUAAUAUAGAUUGUUUUUAUCGAAAUGGACCGCGGAAUUAGAUAUCCUAUUAUUUAAAAUAACUUAUAAGUAAGAGAGGCCUCCGUACA